AUUGAACGCUGGCGGCAUGCUUUACACAUGCAAGUCGAACGGUAACAGGCCGCAAGGUGCUGACGAGUGGCGAACGGGUGAGUAAUGCAUCGGAACGUGCCCAGUCGUGGGGGAUAACUGCUCGAAAGAGCAGCUAAUACCGCAUACGAUCUAUGGAUGAAAGCGGGGGACCGUAAGGCCUCGCGCGAUUGGAGCGGCCGAUGUCAGAUUAGGUAGUUGGUGGGGUAAAGGCUCACCAAGCCAACGAUCUGUAGCUGGUCUGAGAGGACGACCAGCCACACUGGGAACGGGACACGGCCGAGACUCCUACGGGAGGCAGCAGUGGGGAAUUUUGGACAAUGGGGGCAACCCUGAUCCAGCAAUGCCGCGUGCAGGAAGAAGGCCUUCGGGUUGUAAACUGCUUUUGUACGGAACGAAACGGUCUGGGUUAAUACCCUGGGCUAAUGACGGUACCGUAAGAAUAAGCACCGGCUAACUACGUGCCAGCAGCCGCCGUAACAC
rnacentral:rRNA from 1 species